rnacentral:tRNA from 1 species
GAUAAGGUCAGCUAAAAAAGCUUUCGGGCCCAUACCCCGAACAUGACGGUUAAACUCCCUCCCCUAUCA